GUUUCUGUAGUGUAGUGGUUAUCACAUUCGCCUUACAUGUGAAAAGUCCCUGGUUCGAAGCUGGGCAGAAACA